AGACGCUGUCUCUUUAGAUGCGAGGGAAAAAUAGCACUUUAUGGACUUCCACAGAGGACAUCAUGUUUAAUACGGUUCCGGAAAAAUCCAGUCAGAAGUUGUUCACAGAGUUUUCACAAUAACUGCUUCUCAUGAACCGAAGCUGGAUUUGCACGACGUCUCCUCUUGAAAGUUGGAUUACUGUGCACUUCUGGAUCACAGGCUAUUCGCAGCUGGACACAUCCUUCUACACUGUAUGCAAACAUGCAACAUCAUUACACACAGUACAAGGAGUUAGACUGGCAUAUGAGGAGCAAAGGAACCCAGGCAGUAGCAUCGUUUCACAAUGUUUCCAUCAUCAUCAUCAGUGGAUGCCUUUGCCGUCCGUAGCCUGAGAUUUCAGAUUUGCAGCAAAAUUUUUUUUGAUUUUCUCAUUUAUUGGAAUGCUGUGCAGGUAUUUGUACCUUGCAGCCAUCCAUUACAAUGUCACCAAGCCGUAACAAAAGCAGGAGAGGGAAAGUACAAGGCUAUGUUCCCAAAACACACAAGUGACAUACCUUAUGUGGAGGAUGUGAUCAGGCUUGUGUUUGAUGAGGUAUUUGAAGAUAAGCUGAAGGAAACCCCGAUUCCAAUGGACCUGGCAUCACAGUUUGAGAGACCUUCAAAGGAG